CGCGGGGUGGAGCAGCUUGGUAGCUCGUCGGGCUCAUAACCCGAAGGUCGUCGGUUCAAAUCUGGCCCCCGCAACCA
rnacentral:tRNA from 1 species